CAGCAGCCGCGGUAAUACGUAGGGUGCAAGCGUUAAUCGGAAUUACUGGGCGUAAAGCGUGCGCAGGCGGUUAUAUAAGACAGAUGUGAAAUCCCCGGGCUCAACCUGGGAACUGCAUUUGUGACUGUAUAGCUAGAGUACGGCAGAGGGGGAUGGAAUUCCGCGUGUAGCAGUGAAAUGCGUAGAUAUGCGGAGGAACACCGAUGGCGAAGGCAAUCCCCUGGGCCUGUACUGACGCUCAUGCACGAAAGCGUGGGGAGCAAACAGGAUUAGAUACCCCCUAGUCCCUGUCUCUUAUACA
rnacentral:rRNA from 1 species